UACAGAGGUCCCGAGCGUUGUUCGGAUUCAUUGGGCGUAAAGGGUGCGUAGGCGGUGGGGUAAGUCUGAUGUGAAAUCCCGGGGCUCAACCCCGGAACUGCAUUGGAUACUGCCUUACUUGAGUACUGGAGAGGGAACUGGAAUUUACGGUGUAGCAGUGAAAUGCGUAGAGAUCGUAAGGAAGGCCAGUGGCGAAGGCGAGUUCCUGGACAGUUACUGACGCUGAGGCACGAAGGCCAGGGGAGCAAACGGG
rnacentral:rRNA from 1 species